GACGAACCGUGCGAACGUUAUUCGGAAUCACUGGGCUUAAAGCGCGUGUAGGCGGGCCGGCACGUCGGAUGCUGAAAGCCCCCGGCUCAACCGGGGAAGUGGCACCGAUACGACCGGCCUGGAGGGGGGUAGGGGGAGCCGGAACUUCCGGUGGAGCGGUGAAAUGCGUUGAGAUCGGAAGGAACGCCCGUGGCGAAAGCGGGCUCCUGGACCCCACCUGACGCUGAGACGCGAAAGCCAGGGGAGCAAACGGG
rnacentral:rRNA from 1 species